GGGCGAGGAGGCAGCGGCGGGCCUGGCGAUUGGUCGAGCCAGGCAGGGGGAAGCAGCGCUGGGUUCGGUUGAGCCCCUGCCCUGUGGAGAAGUGGGCGGGCCGAGGCGGUACGGCGCGUGCGCGCUAAGGCCGGCCUCCGGGGCGCUGGGGGCGGGGCGCCGGCGCCGCGUGGGGCUGCCUGGCGCGUGCCCGGCGCUGAGGGCGCAUGCGCGUGCGCCGGCGACCCCGCGGCCCCCACCCCCAACCCUCCCAGGGGCGGCCGCAUCUGAGCGGCCGUUAACAGCUGGCCGGGAUGGUGUCGCGGGAGGACCUUUAACCGUUGGCCGUUUGCCUUUUGGGGGCAGGCUCGUCCCUUCGGGGCCGGCCUCGGAGCGGCAGAGGAGCAGAAUCGGCACCUCUGGGGGGCUGUCGCCGCGGAGCGCGGCGAGGGCCGCUUGUGGCGCGGCCGGAAGGAGCCUGGAGCUGCCCCCACUCUCGGCCUCCCUCCCGGCUCGGGAGGCGUCUGCGGCUGCACAGCUGCAGCCCGGUUUGUGCCCAGCUCCCGGCCCUGGAGGUGGAGUGGCCAUCCCUGUUAGCCCGGACUAAGGGAUGACUAAGGCCCUGCCUGGCUGCCCACUAGAAAGGGAGCUACACCUACACUGUAAUUGUAGAUUCUUUCUUUCAUCUUGAAAGCGGUGUGGUAACUCGGUGAGACAGGAAGCACGAAUCUGGGACGUCUGGAUGCCUGUCGGCAUGAACUUUGUAGUUGCUUUCCCGGCUCAUAGUGAAGUCUAGGGAAGGUUCUCCAGGAAGACAGACUUCACAGUCUUAUCCAUGCACGUUGUCAUCACUAGCUUUGGGUGGUGUAUUGGAAUUUAGCUCUGAAAAAACUUACACCAGUGUUUUAACCCAAAAAAAAGUUCACUGUGACUUCAAAAUGCAUUGUUAGAAAUUUUGAGUCAGGACAUUUUGAAAAGCAGCUGAAAACUGUCAUAAGUAAUUACAUGAAACAUUAUUUAUGAAGAAUUAUUUUGUUCCGUUCCGUUGGUCAGCCAUCGAAAGGAGGUGCAUCUGCUGAUAAAGUGCAAGUUUGAACCAGCAUUACCCAUCAAAUAAGCAUAGGAAGCUCACAUACCUCUGCACUGCACCAUGCUGUGACUUGUGGGCUCUGCACUGAUAUGAUAUGCAGCUAAGCAGACAAUAUUUCCUUCAACUUUGAUAGCAGAUUACUACCCAGCCAACAGUCUCAGUGAAGUUUAUUAUUAAGGAUUUAUCCAUGGAGAUUUGUGGUUGAAACCAAACCAGCUCAAGAAGUAGAGAUCCUUCUUUGGCUAACUAUGUUUGCAACUAAAUGAGACGUGAAUAUACCUUAAGCAAUCUGCUCUCUGUAGGCACAAAGGCAGUGCAGCGUGACAGCAUCAAGGCUGCAUCCAGACAAGUUAUCUCACGUACCACAGAUGGGAUAGUUGCCUUGGUGCUGUACUGCUCUGUGGGAAGGAAUUAUCAUUACAAAUAACCUUCUAUUCUGCAGAAGAGACAUAUUUAAUUAGACAUUUAAAUCUCUUUUGCAUUUUCCGUAAGAAGACUGGGAUAAAGACUGGAGAAAAGGCGUAUGAGCAGGAUAAAAUAAGGUCACAGAUACCCGCUGAUCGCAGUGAUGCUAGAAUAAUGCUUCCACAGCAGGCUGGCUGGACACAGGGAUGGGGGACCAUCCCACUCGGCGGAAGUCAAUCGGAGAAAAUGAGAAAACCCAGGCAAUGAAAAACUCCUGAAGCCAGAUGGUCGUCAUCAGAAAACCUUCAAAGGGAGCAGAAGGUCAGGGAGGAACGCUACCAGAUCGGAAGGGCUGCGUUCUACAUUCAGGGAGAGAGAGGACACGGUUCACAACAACCUCGUCUCAAUCAUUUCCUUACCGCUGUUAACAAUUCCACGUGUUUCGUGUGGCAAUCACGGCUCCUUGGAAAAACGAUAGUAGGACCACAGCAAAGAGGGAAGAGAAAGUUAAACACUUUGAUGAUUAUUUUUUUCCUCUUCAGCAUAGGAAGUUACGGAGCUGUAUUUUGCAACUAUUACCAGCAACCCACCUCUCCUGGCUUGAAGCUCCCACCAACACUGGAUGGUGAACCCAACACCAGUUUGUGGACAGGCACUGUAUUUCCAUGUCCCAACUUUACUGCCUUCCUCAGAGUCAAUGUUUUCUGUUACUGUGAUUACAGUUGUGUUUAGUAAUAAUACAACCCACACAGAAACCAAAUAAGGUUAAAAGGCACUAUCUUGUGUUUGUUAAUGUCAUUAGGGGAAAAGAAGCCUUUGGAAGACCCAGCGCCCCAUGGCCAGGAUGGAUGCUAAUAGGACACAUCCCAGCAGGAAGACUGAUGCAUGCUUCAUCCCAAUGCUGGAAGGAGUUCAUCUCCGAGCCAAAAUCUCGCUCCUACUGUUUAUAGAUAAACACUGGCUCACUGAACUACCUCCCUUUUUACAGUUCAUUACUGCACAGUCUUUCAGAGGGGUUGGCUCCUAUUCAAUGUCAUGGGUUCAGAGCUGCAGAAAAGCACCUUUCAGGGGGGUCUAGCCUUCUCUCCAAUCCCCUGGCUACUCAGUGUGCUAGGUAAUAUUUCACUAAGUCUCUGGCUUAGAAACGCUCAUUCCUAGAUCCUCUAAUAAUCCCAAGGGAACAGAAAUCCCAUCGAUCCUGUGUACCACAGGUAAUUAGAACUGUGGCCACAUCUCAUUCCCAGAAAGUUGUGAGGGUCGGGGUUUUAAAUGUCAAAUGCCUUCCAGUGGACUCAGCGCUCUGCCGCUGAAUAAUGCAGCCUAUAAAUUGAAAGUGCCUUUAAAAGAUGACUUUAUUCUUUAGUGUCUUCAAUUAGCACUGCUGUAUUUUAAAAACAAAGCUGGUAUUUCUCCUACUCAUAGGAUAGUAGGAUUGUCCUGGAAGGUAUCCCAUUGUGUGUGUUAUAAUUUUUAAUUUUCCUAAUAAUUUUUAUGGUUCCCUUCAAAUAAUUUUCUCUCUCUUGUGUACUCAUAUUUUCACUUUUGAUUGCAGGCAAUUCAUUUCUAUUACCUUAGAAAAGCAUUCUGAAACUUUUUGUGAUAAGUUUGUUGUAUUUAUCUAGUCGCUAGCCUGUGAUGAAAGUUACUUCUGCAAAGGAUCAGUCAAAAACCUUUUACUGGCAACCUAUAUAGCUCUGCUGUAAGGGGUUAAUCUUUUAUUAGACUAAAGUUACUGCAAAAGCUGCCAUUCAGUUGUUUAAUAGGUUUUCUUAAUUCUAAUCUUCUGCACUUUAAGAAAUAGCUAGAAGUGCAGGCUAAAAAAAGCUCUUCAGGCUUUACUGCAGUUGCAUGGUUUCCUUUGCAUGAAUUGGUAAUUAUUUAUAGUCUUUCAUAAAAAAAAAAUCCUUUUUUUUCCUCCCCAGCCAAUCUUAUUAAACAUUUAGGAGGUACUGAGAAGCACAAACUCUUUAUUGGGUGAAUUGUGAAAGUCAAUUUAUACAGACGCGUACGUGGCUUCCACAAACUCAUGCUGGCCACUGGUGCUUUCAGCCACAUCUCUGGCAGGAAGUAAUUUAUUUGAAUUCGAAGGUGAUUUUGAAAUAAAAGAAAAUGCACAUCCUUUUGGGUACCACUCAGCUACAGAUAAAAAAAUAUUAUCACCUCUGGGAGAGCUGAUUAGAGCCAUUUAUAAUUGCACUGACUUGCUUCAGUAUUAAAAUGCCUAAUACAAUUAGCUCUCUCCUUAUAAGAUGGAAAUUUUGUUUCUGAGCAUACAUUUCAUUUGAAAACGCACAUUGUUUAUGGAUGUUUUGCAGCCUAAGUUCUCAGCACCAAGUGGGACUGAGAGUGGCUGAACCAAAAAUUACUCUGCUACGUCCUGGUAGGAAUGUAUAUUUAAAGUUUUUGUGACUUUGGUAGUUGCUGCAAUAAUAAAAUAAUUUUGCCUUAAGACUGAA